rnacentral:rRNA from 1 species
UGGGGAAUAUUGCACAAUGGGGGAAACCCUGAUGCAGCGACCCCCCGUGGAGGAAGAAGGUCUUCGGAUUGUAAACUCCUGUUGUUGAGGAAGAUAAUGACGGUACUCAACAAGGAAGUGACGGCUAACUACGUGCCAGCAGCCGCGGUAAAACGUAGGUCACAAGCGUUGUCCGGAAUUACUGGGUGUAAAGGGAGCGCAGGCGGGAAGACAAGUUGGAAGUGAAAUCCAUGGGCUCAACCCAUGAACUGCUUUCAAAACUGUUUUUCUUGAGUAGUGCAGAGGUAGGCGGAAUUCCCGGUGUAGCGGUGGAAUGCGUAGAUAUCGGGAGGAACACCAGUGGCGAAGGCGGCCUACUGGGCACCAACUGACGCUGAGGCUCGAAAGUGUGGGUAGCAAACAGGAUUAGAUACCCUGGUAGUCCACACCGUAAACGAUGAUUACUAGGUGUUGGAGGAUUGACCCCUUCAGUGCCGCAGUUAACACAAUAAGUAAUCCACCUGGGGAGUACGACCGCAAGGUUGAAACUCAAAGGAAUUGACGGGGGCCCGCACAAGCAGUGGAGUAUGUGGUUUAAUUCGACGCAACGCGAAGAACCUUACCAAGUCUUGACAUCCUGCGACGGUUCUGGAAACAGAACUUUCCUUCGGGACGCAGAGACAGGUGGUGCAUGGUUGUCGUCAGCUCGUGUCGUGAGAUGUUGGGUUAAGUCCCGCAACGAGCGCAACCCCUAUUGUUAGUUGCUACGCAAGAGCACUCUAGCGAGACUGCCGUUGACAAAACGGAGGAAGGUGGGGACGACGUCAAAUCAUCAUGCCCCUUAUAUCCUGGGCUACACACGUAAUACAAUGGCGGUCAACAGAGGGAAGCAAAGCCGCGAGGCAGAGCAAACCCCCAAAAGCCGUCCCAGUUCGGAUUGUAGGCUGCAACUCGCCUGCAUGAAGUCGGAAUCGCUAGUAAUCGCGGAUCAGCAUGCCGCGGUGAAUACGUUCCC